UACGAAGGGGGCUAGCGUUGCUCGGAAUUACUGGGCGUAAAGCGCACGUAGGCGGACUCUUAAGUCGGUGGUGAAAUCCUGGAGCUCAACUCCAGAACUGCCUUCGAUACUGAGAGUCUCGAGUCCGGGAGAGGUGAGUGGAACUGCGAGUGUAGAGGUGAAAUUCGUAGAUAUUCGCAAGAACACCAGUGGCGAAGGCGGCUCACUGGCUCGAUACUGACGCUGAGGUGCGAAAGCGUGGGGAGCAAACAGG
rnacentral:rRNA from 1 species